rnacentral:pre_miRNA from 1 species
AAUGGAAUUACUGGGUCAUAUGGUAACUCUAUGUUUCACUUUUUGAAGAAUAUCAAAACUGAUUACCAAAGUGGCUGCACCAUUUUACAUUCCCACUAGCAGU